GACUAACUUGUUGAAACAGGAAAUGAUACUGCGAGAGAAAUUAAAUAAAGAAAGAGGAUAGAGAUUAUUACAUACAUUUGGGUUGCCAUGGAGAUACUGAAGCUGCUCAACUAAAUGUUGUUAAAGAAGGCUCUUUGGGGAAGGCUCUUUGGGUAUCAUGUUGUUAAAGAAGGCUCUUUAAAGGCAUCUUCGUCAACUUCAGGCUCUUUGGGUCAAUGGUGAAGUUUGGGGAUAAUAAUCUCGUAUGUAAUAAUCAAUGGUGAAGUUUGG
rnacentral:misc_RNA from 1 species